GGCGAGAUGGCCGAGUGGUUAUGGCGGUGGUCUCAAGUUAAACUUACGCUAUUCAAUAGCGGUGGAUGCCACUGGAGCAAUCCUCAGGGGUUCGAGUCCCCUUCUCGUCA
rnacentral:tRNA from 1 species